rnacentral:rRNA from 1 species
UACGUAGGUGGCAAGCGUUGUCCGGAUUUACUGGGCGUAAAGAGCGCGCAGGCGGCCAAGUCAGUCGAAUGUGAAAGCCCCCGGCUUAACUGGGGAGGGUCAUUCGAUACUGCUCGGCUCGAAGACAGGAGAGGGAUGCGGAAUUCCAGGUGUAGCGGUGAAAUGCGUAGAUAUCUGGAGGAACACCGGUGGCGAAGGCGGCAUCCUGGACCGACACUGACGCUGAGGAGCGAAAGCCAGGGGAGCAAACGGG